AUUGAACGCUGGCGGCAGGCUUAACACAUGCAAGUCGAGCGGGGGAAGGUAGCUUGCUACCGGACCUAGCGGCGGACGGGUGAGUAAUGCUUAGGAAUCUGCCUAUUAGUGGGGGACAACAUCUCGAAAGGGAUGCUAAUACCGCAUACGUCCUACGGGAGAAAGCAGGGGAUCUUCGGACCUUGCGCUAAUAGAUGAGCCUAAGUCGGAUUAGCUAGUUGGUGGGGUAAAGGCCUACCAAGGCGACGAUCUGUAGCGGGUCUGAGAGGAUGUUCCGCCACACUGGGACUGAGCCACGGCCCAGACUCCUACGGGAGGCAGCAGUGGGGAAUAUUGGACAAUGGGGGGAACCCUGAUCCAGCCAUGCCGCGUGUGUGAAGAAGGCCUUAUGGUUGUAAAGCACUUUAAGCGAGGAGGAGGCUACUCUAGUUAAUACCUAGGGAUAGUGGACGUUACUCGCAGAAUAAGCACCGGCUAACUCUGUGCCAGCAGCCGCCGUAA
rnacentral:rRNA from 1 species